GAAAUAUUGAUUGAGUUUUAACCGUUUCCUCCCAGCAGACAGACGCAGGUGAGAGUUGGACGGAGCUGCAGAGCUCAGAACCACGGACAGAUCUCAGAUGAUCUGCAGAAUGGCUGAUAAAAGAUAUAUCAAUAAUCCUCUUCCUGAGCCCCACAGCAUCUCCAGCCGUUCACACUAUCAGCACCAAAAUGAACAUUUUCCUUCAGGGUGAUAAAAAAUCUUAUCAGGCACUUCCAGGUAAAGUCCUGCCAGAACUGCCUCUCCGGUUCGGAUGAACCAGAAACAGACCGGCCCACUUCAACACGACCAACAAAGCCCGUCCUCUCGGGCUGAAAGAAGACAAACAAGAGACGCUGCAGCCUGAGAGACAGCAGACGCACAACCAGACAACCACACACCCGCCUCCACAGAAAUACAUAAAGAGGACGUCAAUAAAGUGAAACCUGGCAGCCACGCUCUCUAAUAGAAGAAGGGUGUUUACAGACCAGAGCGGGACUCAUAUUAAACUUGAAGUGAUUUAUUUUU
rnacentral:lncRNA from 1 species